rnacentral:rRNA from 1 species
AUGUACCUUGUCUUCACGUGUGGUGUGAUGCCUACAGGAAGCUCCAAACUCGUACCUUUGCUCGCCCAUAAGGAAAUCAGGGAAGCUAUUGGACCAUAUGCUGAUGUAGCCAGUAGGGGUCGAGCUAUUAGGAUGGUGCUUCAAGCUAAUAACAGAGAAAAGCCACAAUCAGCCGAUGCAGACGAUAUGGGCGGCAGCAGCCGCCAACCGGCAACUCAGAUGCAACUUCUUAAAGACAAUAUAAAGGCUAUUCGUUCUCCAGUGGUGCCUCGUGCAUGUAAAGUGGCCGACGAGCUGAAUACCAUGCCUAGAGAUGGCCGCUGGGGCCUCAUUGGAGAUGUAUGGCUGGAGAUGUUUUUCUACAUCGCGCCUCGCUGUGGGGGUGAUUUCCAUGCUCAUCAUCUCAGUACCGGCGGGGAGUUCGUGACGCAUGUCCUCCAACUCAUGCGUUUACUAGGCCCUUUUCUACCACCGCCAGAUGCUUAG